rnacentral:rRNA from 1 species
UUUCAAGUUAGUAAGGGCAUGCGGUGGAUGCCUUGGUACGGGAAGGCGAUGAAGGACGUGGCAAGCUGCGAUAAGCCUCGGGGAGGUGCAAACGACCGUUGAUCCGGGGAUUUCCGAAUGGGGCAACCCAGCGUCGUGAGAGCGACGUUAUCUUGCGCUGAAUCCAUAGGCGUAAGAAGCGAGACCCAGGGAACUGAAACAUCUUAGUACCUGGAGGAAGAGAAAGUAAAAACGAUUCCCUCAGUAGCGGCGAGCGAACGGGGAAGAGCCUAAACCGGGGGGACAUGUCCCCUCGGGGUUGUGGGACCUCAACAUGGGACUGGCGAAUCUAGCCGAAUCUGCCAGAAAACAGAGCCAGAGAAGGUGAAAGCCCUGUAAGCGAAAGGUUCAAGAGCCCUAGAGGAAUCCCGAGUACGGCGGGACACGAGGAAUCCCGCCGGAAUCCGCGAGGACCAUCUCGUAAGGCUAAAUACUCUCCCGUAACCGAUAGUGAACCAGUACCGCGAGGGAAAGGUGAAAAGACCCCCGGAAGGGGAGUGAAAUAGUCCCUGAAACCGCAUGCUUACAAGCUGUGGGAGGGCAAUUCUUCGGGAUGCCUGACCGCGUGCCUUUUGUUUAAUGAGCCAGCGAGUUGUCCUCUGUGGCGUUAGGUUAAG